GCGUCUGUGGCUCAACUGGAUAGAGCACUGGGUUUCGGCCCCGGCGGUUGUGAGUUCGAAUCUUACCAGGCGUGCCA
rnacentral:tRNA from 1 species